GGGAGAGAAAUGGUAAAUGAAGGCAGAUCUGAGGUUUGACUCAAAAAAGCACUUUGAAUUCUACAGUCAACCAAACUGACCAAGCAGUGGUUUAUGAUGUCAUCCUCCCUUCUUCUGAGGAACGAAAGAAGAAAAGACAAACAGAGUGGGCGGGGUGAAGAAGAUGAGGAACAGGAAGUGGAGAAGGAGGUGAAGAAGAUGAGGAACAGGAAGUGGAGAAGGAGGUGAAGAAGAUGAGGAACAGGAAGUGGAGAAGGAGGUGAAGAAGAUGAGGAACAGGAAGUGGAGAAGGAGGUGAAGAAGAUGAGGAACAGGAAGUGGAGAAGGAGGUGAAGAAGAUGAGGAACAGGAAGUGGAGAAGGAGGUGAAGAAGAUGAGGAACAGGAAGUGGAGAAGGAGGUGAAGAAGAUGAGGAACAGGAAGUGGAGAAGGAGGUGAAGAAGAUGAGGAACAGGAAGUGGAGAAGGAGGUGAAGAAGAUGAGGAACAGGAAGUGGAGAAGGAGGUGAAGAAGAUGAGGAACAGGAAGUGGAGAAGGAGGUGAAGAAGAUGAGGAACAGGAAGUGGAGAAGGAGGUGAAGAAGAUGAGGAACAGGAAGUGGAGAAGGAGGUGAAGAAGAUGAGGAACAGGAAGUGGAGAAGGAGGUGAAGAAGAUGAGGAACAGGAAGUGGAGAAGGAGGUGAAGAAGAUGAGGAACAGGAAGAGGAGAAGGAGGUGAAGAAGAUGAGGACCAGGAAGUGGAGAAGGAGGUGAAGAAGAUGAGGAACAGGAAGAGGAGAAGGAGGUGAAGAAGAUGAGGACCAGGAAGUGGAGAAGGAGGUGAAGAAGAUGAGGAACAGGAAGAUGAGAAGGAGGUGAAGAAGAUGAGGAACAGGAAGUGGAGAAGGAGGUGAAGAAGAAGAGGGACAGGAAGAGGAGAAGGAGGUGAAGAAGAUGAGGAACAGGAAGUGGAG